AACGCACCUUGCGCCCCUUGGCUAUUCCGAAGGGCAUGCCUGUUUGAGUAUCAUGAACACCUCAACCCUCGUGGUUUGCCGCGAUGGGCUUGGACUUUGGAGGUUUUGCUGGCUCCUCUGAUCAGCUCCUCUCAAAUGGAUCAGCUUACCAGUGUUUGGUGGCGUCGCAGGUGUGAUAACUAUCUACGCUUGUGGCCGUCCGCCAUGCAACCUUCAGUGAUGGGGGUUCGCUGGAGCUCACAGAUGUCUCCCGAGCGAAGACAGCUUUUCGACGUUCGAUCUCAAAUCAGGUAGGACUACCCGCUGAACUUA
rnacentral:rRNA from 1 species